rnacentral:rRNA from 1 species
GAUGAACGCUGGCGGCGUGCCUAAUACAUGCAAGUCGAGCGAAUGGAUUAAGAGCUUGCUCUUAUGAAGUUAGCGGCGGACGGGUGAGUAACACGUGGGUAACCUGCCCAUAAGACUGGGAUAACUCCGGGAAACCGGGGCUAAUACCGGAUAACAUUUUGAACCGCAUGGUUCGAAAUUGAAAGGCGGCUUCGGCUGUCACUUAUGGAUGGACCCGCGUCGCAUUAGCUAGUUGGUGAGGUAACGGCUCACCAAGGCAACGAUGCGUAGCCGACCUGAGAGGGUGAUCGGCCACACUGGGACGGAGACACGGCCCAGACUCCUACGGGAGGCAGCAGUAGGGAAUCUUCCACAAUGGACGAAAGUCUGACGGAGCAACGCCGCGUGAGUGAUGAAGGCUUUCGGGUCGUAAAACUCUGUUGUUAGGGAAGAACAAGUGCUAGUUGAAUAAGCUGGCACCUUGACGGUACCUAACCAGGAAGCCACGGCUAACUACGUGCCAGCAGCCGCAGUAA